rnacentral:misc_RNA from 1 species
UAGCUACAGUAUCAGUACCGUUAGUUGGCGGACGGCGUGCGUGAGUAGGAAAUUCCCUGUGACGCAUUAAGCCUUCGUCCUUUCCGUCGCGCUACUGUGAGUGGAACAUGUCGUAUACGUCCGAAAGAAGAAACGAGGAUCAAUGGUCGGGCGACUCUAAAAAUGGUCCGAGCGAAAGCGAGCAGCCCGCCUAUGAUGGCCCUCCGGGAAUGGAUCCCGAUGGCAUUAUUGAGUCAAACUGGGAAGUCGUUGUUGAUAACUUUGAUGACAUGAAUUUAAAAGAAGAGUUAUUGCGCGGAAUAUAUGCUUAUGGAUUCGAAAAACCAUCCGCUAUCCAACAGCGUGCUAUCCUUCCUUGUGUUAAAGGUCAUGAUGUUAUUGCCCAAGCCCAGUCUGGAACUGGGAAAACGGCAACCUUUUCUAUAUCUAUUUUACAGCAAAUAGAUACCAGUAUUCGCGAAUGCCAAGCUUUGAUUUUGGCACCAACUCGAGAGCUUGCUCAACAGAUUCAGAAGGUAGUUAUUGCCCUGGGCGAUUUUAUGCAAGCGCAAUGCCAUGCCUGUAUUGGAGGAACGAAUGUACGUGAUGAUAUGCGUAAAUUGGAGCAGGGCAUUCACGUUGUUGUUGGCACUCCAGGUCGCGUCUACGACAUGAUCAGUCGACAUUCAUUGCGCGCAAACAGCAUUAAGUUGUUCGUAUUGGAUGAAGCCGACGAGAUGCUUUCCCGUGGGUUUAAAGAUCAAAUUCACGAUGUAUUCAAGCUACUCCCUACCGAAGUUCAGGUGAUACUGCUUUCGGCAACAAUGCCUGCGGAUGUGCUUGAUGUGUCAAAGUGUUUCAUGAGAAACCCAAUUCGUAUAUUGGUGAAAAAGGAAGAAUUAACACUGGAGGGUAUUAAACAAUUCUUCAUUUAUGUAGAGCGUGAAGAUUGGAAAUUGGAAACACUCUGCGAUUUGUACGAUACGUUAAGUAUUACACAGGCCGUUAUUUUCUGCAACACGCGGCGCAAGGUAGACUGGCUUACAGACAAUAUGCAUCACCGUGAUUUCACGGUAUCUGCCAUGCAUGGCGAUAUGGAACAGAAAGAGCGUGACGUCAUCAUGAGACAAUUCCGUACUGGAUCUUCCAGAGUUCUCAUUACCACUGAUUUGCUAGCUCGUGGUAUUGACGUCCAGCAAGUUUCCCUUGUCAUUAACUACGAUCUACCUUCCAACAGAGAAAACUAUAUUCACAGAAUUGGACGCGGUGGACGAUUUGGCCGUAAGGGAGUAGCUAUAAACUUUGUCACAGAGGAUGACAAGCGUACUCUAAAGGAUAUCGAGCAAUUCUAUAACACCCAUAUCGACGAGAUGCCAAUGAACGUUGCAGAUUUGAUCUAAAAAGAACAAAAUCCGACUAAUUAUUGGCUAUAAUCAAUAAUAAUUCAUUAUAAUACAAAUAAAAAGUGGCAAAAUAAGAGCUCUCAACCUUGAUCUCUCUGAUGGUGCGGUUUUGGACAGUCCACCAGCGGAGAGAUAUUUUUGGAAAUAAAGACCAAAUUUCCAAAUCAA